rnacentral:rRNA from 1 species
UACGUAGGUGGCAAGCGUUGUCCGGAUUUACUGGGCGUAAAGGGAGCGUAGGCGGAUACUUAAGUGGGAUGUGAAAUACCUGGGCUUAACUUGGGUGCUGCAUUCCAAACUGGGUGUCUAGAGUGUUGGAGAGGAAAGUGGAAUUCCUAGUGUAGCGGUGAAAUGCGUAGAGAUUAGGAAGAACACCAGUGGCGAAGGCGACUUUCUGGACAAUAACUGACGCUGAGGCUCGAAAGCGUGGGGAGCAAACAGGAUUAGAUACCCUGGUAGUCCACGCCGUAAACGAUGGGUACGAGGUGUAGGAGGUAUCGAAUCCUCCUGUGCCGCCGUUAACACAAUAAGUACCCCGCCUGGGGAGUACGGUCGCAAGAUUAAA